UGCACACGGAACCACCCUGUCUCCGGGGAGC
rnacentral:piRNA from 1 species